CUUUCUUUGGCUUCAAAAAACUGGGGACAAAGGCCCAAAACGAGAAAAGCUUUUGCGAAUACUGAAGCAGCACUUCCAGCAGUCUCCCACUUCUUCCAAAAUUAGUGAAGGAAGGCAGGCAGAAUGUGAGAGGUCAUUCAGCAAGCAGGGGGCGGAAGACUCUGAAGAGGAUGCAAAUAACAGGACUGUUUGAACUCGGAGCAACGGUACAGAACAAGAUUCAAAGGCUUCUGUAGUGAACAUUUCUUCAAUGACUCUAUCUGUACAUCAA